GGGGUUUGCGGUGAUUAUGAAGUAAAUUCCUCGUAAUGAAUGCAAACUUUUGCGUGACAGAGUCUAUUUACACCCAUAGUGUUUGUGGGCC